GGGAAAUCCAAGUAGAAAUUUGCCAAUUUUAAAGAAAUUUCAUGUCAGGCAUAUGCAUAAGGGAUACGAAGAGAACAAAGAUAAAGGUAGUCGAUAAAGCCCAUAAGAAAACUUCUCCAAUCCCUAAUUUCUUCUUCUUCUUGGAGAGUUUGGUAAAAAUCUUGAAACCUCUCUAACAAUGGCGUCAACAAGAGCAAAUUCGUUUCUGCAACAUGAGUGAAAAAAUCUGAUUAAGAAGACCAAAUACAAAAACUUACAAAAAGAAAAGAAUUGUGAUAGUUACCAUUGGAUAACAAGCAUUAUUACAACUUCGGUGUUGA
rnacentral:lncRNA from 1 species